CAGCAGCCGCGGUAAUGCGUAGGUGGCAAGCGUUGUCCGGAAUUAUUGGGCGUAAAGGGCUCGCAGGCGGUUUCUUAAGUCUGAUGUGAAAGCCCCCGGCUCAACCGGGGAGGGUCAUUGGAAACUGGGAAACCUGAGUGCAGAAGAGGAGAGUGGAAUUCCACGUGUAGCGGUGAAAUGCGUAGAGAUGUGGAGGAACACCAGUGGCGAAGGCGACUCUCUGGUCUGUAACUGACGCUGAGGAGCGAAAGCGUGGGGAGCGAACAGGAUUAGAUACCCCGGUAGUCCCUGUCUCUUAUAC
rnacentral:rRNA from 1 species